rnacentral:rRNA from 1 species
UACGAAGGUCCCGAGCGUUAUCCGGAUUUAUUGGGUUUAAAGGGUGCGUAGGCGGGUUAUUAAGUCAGUGGUGAAAGCCUUCAGCUCAACUGAAGAACUGCCAUUGAUACUGACGAUCUUGAGUACGAUUGAGGUAGGCGGAAUGUGUCAUGUAGCGGUGAAAUGCUUAGAUAUGACACAGAACACCGAUUGCGAAGGCAGCUUACUAAGUCGAUAACUGACGCUGAUGCACGAAAGCGUAGGGGAGCGGAA